rnacentral:rRNA from 1 species
GUCAGAAUGCCACGGUGAAUACGUUCCCGGGCCUUGUACACACCGCCCGUCACACCAUGGGAGUGAGUUGCAAAAGAAGUAGGUAGCUUAACCUUCGGGAGGGCGCUUACCACUUUGUGAUUCAUGACUGGGGUGAAGUCGUAACAAGGUAACCGUAGGGGAACCUGCGGUUGGAUCACCUCCUUACCUUAAAGAAGC